rnacentral:rRNA from 1 species
UACGUAGGGUGCGAGCGUUAAUCGGAAUUACUGGGCGUAAAGCGUGCGCAGGCGGUUCGUUAAGUUCGUUGUGAAAGCCCCGGGCUCAACCUGGGAACUGCAAUGGAAACUGGCGGGCUUGAGUGUGGCAGAGGGGGGUGGAAUUCCGCGUGUAGCAGUGAAAUGCGUAGAGAUGCGGAGGAACACCGGUGGCGAAGGCGGCAUCCUGGACCAAUUCUGACACUGAGGAGCGAAAGCCAGGGGAGCAAACGGG